rnacentral:rRNA from 2 species
UGCCAGGGCAUCCACCGUGUACGCUUAGUCGCUUAACC